GACGAACGCUGGCGGCGUGCCUAACACAUGCAAGUUGGGCGGUGAAGUUUGGUGCUUGGCACAUUCUGAAGCGUAGCGCACGUGAGAGUUACGCGCAGGGAAUCUGCAUGUUCACGGCGUAUAACCUUUGGAAUCGAAUUCUCAUACCCCGUCACAAAUUUAAAUAUACGCUUUAUGUUUGAUAGAUUCAAUUGCCUCAUUCAAGCCUGAACGCUGGUUGUAUUAGCUUGUUGGUGCGGUAAAGGCUAACCAAGCCGCUGAUACAUAGCCGACCUGAGAGGGGGAUCGGCCACGUUGGGACUGAGACACGGCCCAAACUCCUACGGGAGGCAGCAGUAGUGAAUCUGCGGCAAUGGACGAAAGGCUGACCGAGCAACGCCGCGUGAGUGAAGAAGGUUUUCGGAUCGUAAAACUCUGUUGGUAGAGAAGAACGUUGGUGAGAGUGGAAAGCUCAUCAAGUGACGGUAACUACCCAGAAAGGGACGGCUAACUACGUG
rnacentral:rRNA from 1 species